CACGUCCGCACGUCCGCACGUCCGCGGGCGCCAGAAGCGGUGGAGGGUGGCGGGAAGGGCGGCAGCGUUCCCUUCCCCUCCGGGCGGAUCGGCCCGGGCGGCGUCCUGCUGCCCGGGGGGAGGCGUCCGCAGUUUGCGGGCUGCAGGCCCCGGCGCGUGUGGGUUGGUCUUCGGCUGCGGGUGGCGCCUGUGCCGUAUUGUUCCCAGGUCAGGUGGAGACUUCCGUGUGGCAAGCAUAAGCCUAUUAAGAGAAAUGCCAGCUCUGCUAUUUCAGCCACCUUGUGAAGACCUCUUAAAAGUUUAAUCCAGAGUUCCUGCCUCCUGUCCAAAAGCCCUCAGUUCACAGCCUGAAGUUCCCUGAAGCCCAUGGAUCAACCCGAAGAUGUCAAUAAUGAUGAGCCUUGUGAAGCCUGUGUUUCUGUUUGCUUAAAUAUUGCAUGCUCCUGAAGACUUGAGUUGUGAAAUCAGAGUAUCUAAAAGGUUAGAGGUCUGGGGAAAAAGUGUAGUUGGAAUGUUAGCAGUGGUCCUACGGCAUCUGUGUUACUCCUCAAUGAAAAAGUGACAUGCUAGCAAAGAACAACUGAGCACAGAGCGGCAUUACUGGGAAGUGCGCAGACAUCAGUGGUCCAUGGAUUUCGGUUCAGUCAUGAUACUAAACUGACCCACAGCAAUUUGCAGAAAAUUUCAGGAUCGGUGUGUGAGGAAGCGAGGAAAGGAGGGCAGCUGUCUCUGAAAUAAUGUCAUGACUUGGAUUGCUGUGAAUCUCUGUCUCUUCUUGCGCUGCUGUUGUAUAUCUGUGUGUAUCACUAAGUAAACUAGUGAAAUUACAGUGAUAGAAGAGAAAGAAAAAAAAAAGCUUCUGUUGUAGUAAUUCAGAGAAAAUAAAUGACAUAGCAAGAAAGCCUUGUUGUGACUUAAAAAUAGUAUUUUCCUGUUGUAAAGCUCCAAUAUUAAGUAUGUAGCAGGCAUGAGAAGGGAAAAAAGGGCUGAUAAUAGAAAAUCAGAAAAGCACCUGAAAAUCAGGGUCACUUUAGAGGCUUUUGCGAUUUCCUGUAAUGUGACAUAAACCAUCUGUUGUGUUUUUGCUGGGAAAUUUGUAGCUGAGGUCAAUGUAGCAGAAAAUAAAAGUUGAGAAAACAUACACAGGGUUGCUGUGCUGGAAUGAGAGUUGUGUUCCUUAUCGAACCGGUCACAGAGGAUGGUGCCCAUUCAAAUUUACAUAAAACAAAUGGUAAAGCGUCUGUUAGACUGUAUUCCAACAUGUGUGUUGCUUCCUGUCAGUUUAAUUUUGUGUUAUCAGAAAGCUUUUGUUUAGAUAUAAGCAGCUUUUGUUACUUGGACUCAUUAACACGGGUCUCUGGCAAUGGUUUUCCCCCCACUCCCCGCUGCGAGCUGGUGGCACCCAGCAGCAGUGCUCGCUGCGGCCCCGAUGCUGCCUU